rnacentral:rRNA from 1 species
GACGAACGCUGGCGGCGUGCUUAACACAUGCAAGUCGAACGGAAAGGCCCUGCUUGCUGGGUACUCGAGUGGCGAACGGGUGAGUAACACGUGGGUGAUCUGCCCUGCACUUCGGGAUAAGCCUGGGAAACUGGGUCUAAUACCGGAUAGGAGCCAUUUUUAGUGUGAUGGUUGGAAAGUUUUUUCGGUGUAGGAUGAGCUCGCGGCCUAUCAGCUUGUUGGUGGGGUAAUGGCCUACCAAGGCGGCGACGGGUAGCCGGCCUGAGAGGGUGGACGGCCACAUUGGGACUGAGAUACGGCCCAGACUCCUACGGGAGGCAGCAGUGGGGAAUAUUGCACAAUGGGCGCAAGCCUGAUGCAGCGACGCCGCGUGGGGGAUGACGGCCUUCGGGUUGUAAACUCCUUUCGCUAGGGACGAAGCUUUUUGUGACGGUACCUAGAUAAGAAGCACCGGCUAACUACGUG